UUGUCACUAUCCCUUGUCAUAUCUUGCCAUCAUGAAGUUGAUGCAUACAAGGACAGAUUCCCCACAAUUUGACACUACUUAAAGAAGUAAAGGUUAAUGUAAGUCUUGGAACACGCAGGUAGAUGAAUCACUGCGUAAAAUAUGUCACUAUCAACAGAAUGUGCUGCAGCAUCACUACCUUUUAGACAACCAAGUUGUAAUAUUCAUCUGCGGUAAUGAACAGCUAGUACCAGGCAGACACGGUUGUCCAGUGGUUAGCAUGAUGGACUCCAGAUCAUACAGUUUGGGUUUAGGCCCUGGUUGGGAACAUUGUAUUGUGUUCUUGGGCAUAACACUUAACACCCACAGUCCCUCCCUUCUCCCAAGUGUGUGAAUGGGUACCAGCCAAUUUAAUGCUGUAUAGUAACCCUGGGAUGGACUAGUAUCCCAUCUGGAGGGGAGAGAACAAAUACUCCUGGUAGUGUAAUGCUGUAGAAACCAGGUUUAACUUUAAAAAGAUGGAACAUGCAAGCCUGUGCAGACUUUACCUUAACCAAUGAACAGUUUGCAUAUGUUGUGUUACCAGGUUUAUGAUGUCUCAAGCUAUGUAUCAAUUCAUCCCGGGGGGAAAGCGAUUCUAAGAAAUGUGGGAGGAGACGCCACACAGGGAUUUCAACAACAGGCUGCCCACAGAGUCGUAAAGAACCACAUUGCAUCUUUGCUGGAGAAGUUCUACAUUGGUCGCAUAUCACCAGGACAGGAAUGUUCGAAAACUGGUUAAUGCUAAUCCAGGAUUAAAAGCGGAUUGUGCUCUUAAUUUAAUCUGUCAGUUGAUAAUGUUUUCUAUGGUUUUCUAAACUUUGAAUUCAUAGAUUAUAGUCAUCAGUUAGGUGUCCACUGAGGGGAACAUCCCUCUGUUAGGAAAUUUUGACACAAUAAUAAAGCUUAUAAUAUUUUUUUAUUAUCAUAUUGAUGUUGCACAAAGUCAACAUUAAGGACAAAAGAAAAUAGACAAAAAGUCGCUGAAAAGAUACAGAAAAAUUAAAAUCCAAAUUCAGUGUAAUCCUGGAUUAGCUUUAUAGUAUUUUGAACAGUCAAUCCCGGCAGAAGAGGAAUAUUGUGAAACAAAGUUAUCAGGAACAGUGACUCUUGUUUAUUUUGCUUCAUCUAAAAUGGCGAUGCUACAAUGAGACUGGAGGUUUUUACACUGCUACUCUGGCUUGAGCUUCUUCUGGUGUCGUAAAACUAGCAAAUAAGGAUGUAAAGCCUGAAAUGUUUCUUUUAGUUUGUUUCUGUUCUUGUUAUUUUGUUGAUGAUUGUAAAAGAUAUGCAGGCUAUGAUAAAAUGACUCUUUAAACCACUGCAGAAAAA